rnacentral:lncRNA from 1 species
CUGUUGUAAUAAUUUGGCUUGAUGUAUUUUUGAAAGAUGAUGACUGAAGCCGGAAAUACAAUUUCCUUUAUUAAAAAGAAGAAGUGGGGGAGACACGGUCAGAAGAAGUGGACCAUCAGCAGGUAGGCGGUGGCGGCGAAGUCGUCAGCAUCAGUGUCAGCAACGGCUGCCGGGGUAUCUGCGAUGAUAGCCCGGUCGAAGCUGGUGGAGCAGCUACAUAACAACCGGAUCGGAUUCGUGUGUUCGUCGGUAGCACAUUAGGAGGAAGAGAAGAAAAUACUAAAUUACCCAU